GGGGAUUUAGCUCAGUGGUAAGAGCGCUUGCCUAGGAAGCGCAAGGCCCUGGGUUCGGUCCCCAGCUCCG
rfam:Rattus norvegicus chromosome 19, whole genome shotgun sequence.